UGAACCGUUUUAGGAAGCAAACAGGAUAAGUCCCGCCCCUCUUUGUUACCAUGGCGAAAAUAUACAGUGAACUAAUCAUCUCUUUACCAGUUCUAGAAAGAAAGAAACACGAAUGAACGACAGAAGUGUGUUGUUUCGACAGAAAGAAGUCACACUUUUUCAAGUUUAAGUCCACCGACGUAAAGCUCCUGUUUGUGGGACAAAAUGGCCGACCGGGCUGUGAAUAAAACCAUCAAAGCAUCACUUUCACAUCUGACAAGAGUUCAGCAGCUACUUGAAUCUUGACGAGGAAACACUUACCUGAACAUCAAAUGAAAACUCAUCUAAAGUCUCCGUGUUUUCGACCUCCAUGGCGAUCCAUAAACACGUCGAUCCGCAGAUGUUCUCCAUAAACACAGGACUACAGAUGAAGGAGUAGAGGGAUUAUUUUAUUAUUUAAAAGUAUGUACAGGUUCUAUCCAGGGAAAUAACGCAACGUAUGACUAUAUGUACAAUUUACUUUUUUACAUUAUGUCUUUACAAGAAGCCGUCUUUUAGAAAAAACAACGCCUUGCUAAUACGUGGGAAAAUACACACACUCGCAUACGAAGGAAUACACACAUAAAUAAAUAUCAACAUCAACAUUCACUGACUGCCACAACAAAGAUCUCCACAGCCAAGAACAUAAACGGUUUACAUCAUUUCAUCACGCAUAUGUAAUAAUUAAUAAACAAAACACUCUCUGUUAAUCUUUAAUGAAAUAUUGCUAACGUAUCAAUAAGAGGCGACAGCUGGAUGGGUCGUUUAUGCC